rnacentral:rRNA from 1 species
CUGGUUGAUCCUGCCAGUAGUCAUAUGCUUGUCUCAAAGAUUAAGCCAUGCAAGUCUCAGUACGAGCCGAAUUAAGGUGAAACCGCAAAAGGCUCAUUAAAUCAGUUAUGGUUCCUUAGAUCGUACAAUCCAUUACUUGGAUAACUGUGGUAAUUCUAGAGCUAAUACAUGCAAACAGAGUCCCGACCAGAGAUGGAAGGGACGCUUUUAUUAGACCAAAACCAAUCGGUGCUCGGUUCGUCCGGGCCCAGAUACACUUGGUGACUCUGAAUAACUUCUAGCUGAUCGCACGGUCUCCGUACCGGCGACGCAUCUUUCAAAUGUCUGACUUAUCAACUGUCGAUGGUAGAUUCUGCGCCUACCAUGGUUGUAACGGGUAACGGGGAAUCAGGGUUCGAUUCCGGAGAGGGAGCCUGAGAAACGGCUACCACAUCCAAGGAAGGCAGCAGGCGCGCAAAUUACCCACUCCCGGCACGGGGAGGUAGUGACGAAAAAUAACGAUACGGGACUCAUCCGAGGCCCCGUAAUCGGAAUGAGUACACUUUAAAUCCUUUAACGAGUACCAAUUGGAGGGCAAGUCUGGUGCCAGCAGCCGCGG